CCAUAUAGUUUGAGUGAAACGAACUGUGGACGCUGUGGCCUGUUGAUAGGUACAUCUGUACAGCGUCCACGGUUCGUUUUACGGAGCAUAUAGUGUCAAUAAUAUCAUUAAAACCGUAUAAUCUAUAUUGACAUAUUAUUAUGUAGUUCACAAAAGCCUGACAACUGCAGCAAGGAUCGCAAUGGAAGAAGGCCACGACCACCAGUGUAAUCCACAUCGUCAGGCAGACACUGCAGUGCUGGUACCUAGUAUUUAUUGUUAUGGAACCAUUGCUGCAUGUGAUUCAAAAGUCUAGUAUAUACUCAGAUUCAAAAAUGUUUGUUGUCAUGAAAAUGAAAUAUAUACCGAAUAAAACCAUGAAUUUAUUCUUGGAUGUGACGAAAAACUAGGGAUACAGGCCUUAUAAAUUAUAUCUGGAGAUUUUUCUCAAUGACGCAUUUGUGAAGGAGAGCAGUGCAGGAUUUGAAAUUUGGGAUCCCACCAACUGUAAGGCAGAGACAAAAUUUCAAAGAAUGAGACUUACAUUUCAUAUGAAAACUUUUAGGUAAACAAAUCAAAUAUUAUGUAUGUAUCAAAACGGAGGUGAGAUUAUCUAACACUAUGUGGUGUCAGCCACCCAUGCUACCGCCAAUGAUAAAAAGUUACAUAGAGGGAAAAAAACGAGAAAUCCCUUAAAGAAAAUGUAGAUAUACAAGAAAAAUAAUUCGGCUAUUUGAUGUUAAGCCAUACAGUGGAUAUAAAAAAAGAUGGAAAAUGUUACACAUUGGCUGUAUAAAAGGAUUUCCGUGAUGUUUAAGAUACAAAAUAAUCAGUCUUAUUUCAAUCAUAGCAGCCCAUCUAGAGUGGUGAUGUUAUGAUGAUCGGGUAAAAUUAAUCGCUAAUCACCCUAGAUUUCUUCUAACGUGUCAUACUCAAGUCACAAUUCCACUUCCUCUUGACCCAAAACCGCCUUCAACGUUUCUAUACGUUGGUUGGCGCUAGAGUACCUGCGACAACUCGCUCUCAGAACCCAGUAAAAAUCGUCUAGUUAUUUGGCGUUUCAAAUAUGAAGUGACCAACUCUUAGUCUUUUGUGUUUCAACGUUUUUUGAUUUCAACGGGCCUUGGUUUCUGUAAACCAGUUGGAGGAUGAUCUGUUCUUGAGGUUCGUCCGCUCGACAACGUCUCUCAUUGUCCGAUCAGGCCGUAGAUCAUCAGCAUCAUUUUGGUUCGGUCGGUGCUGAUUAAUAUUACUAACCUGACGCCCGACAGUCGGCAUCCAUCACAAAUCUCCGUGUGACCAAGCGCAGUCUGUCGCGUUGCUUUCUAUUCGUGGCUUGCGCGUGCUGCAAGGGCAUUACCCACCGCGCCGUGCUUUUGAAAUCAUCAGUAAUGGAUGCCACCGCUAUUCACAUGAAAUCACUCGGUGGAACCCGGUGGAAAAUUGACUCAUACGUCAUCAUUUGUGAUUUGUCCCGAAUUCCGGUACAUCUGCAGGAAACCUGAUCUAUCUGAAAACACGGUCAAUCAUUCUGGUGGAUUUGAAAAGCCAAGAUACUGGGUGACUUGUAUCGCGAGUGAGUUGUUGAAGUUCAGCGACAACAAAUGGCGGUGAAGAUGGUUCUAUGGAAGAGGUGGACCCGUGAUACUACACGGGAUAUCUACUACGACACGCUAAUAAAAACAACUAUACUAAAUAUAGGUUGAUAAGUGAUUACUCUUACCCGAUCAUCUUAUCAAUACAGUGGACAGGGUAUUAUUAUUUAUGACAGAUAUAAACUUAAUGUCGAUGAGGCUUAAAAAAGGAUAGGUGUCCUUGUAUACAUUUAAUGUGUAUGACGUAUGUAUGUUCCUUUUUUUCGUAUAUCCAUUGUAUGAUUUAACAUCAAAUAUCUAAAUUAUUUUUCCAGUAUAUCGAAAUUUUCUUUAAGAAUUAAGUAUUGUUUUUUGUUUGUGGCCUUGACGUAUCUUUUUGUUAUUGGUGUUAACAUCGGUGGUUGAGACCACAUAAUGUUAAUAAACAGUAGUCUAUGUCUAUCACUUUACUUAGUGAAUGUCGUGUGCUUUAGUUCUCAAAAUUGCUUCAUUUACUGUUAUUAGGUUUCAUUAUUUGUCCUGAAAUACUAUCUUUUUUUAAAAUUUUAAUCUAAGUUAUUUUAAAAAUAAAUUGCCUUAAGAGGAUGUCGCACCCAUAUGUAUUGUAUCGGUUGACCGUCUUACACACUUACUAGUUACUACAUAGAGUGAUAACAUUUUUUAAACUGUAUAUUUUAAAAUGAUCAUAAUUCAUAACAUACCUACUUAAAAAUAAUAAUAUCAAU